rnacentral:rRNA from 1 species
GAUGAACGCUGGCGGCGUGCCUAAUACAUGCAAGUCGAGCGAACAGACGAGGAGCUUGCUCCUCUGACGUUAGCGGCGGACGGGUGAGUAACACGUGGAUAACCUACCUAUAAGACUGGGAUAACUUCGGGAAACCGGAGCUAAUACCGGAUAAUAUAUUGAACCGCAUGGUUCAAUAGUGAAAGACGGUUUUGCUGUCACUUAUAGAUGGAUCCGCGCCGCAUUAGCUAGUUGGUAAGGUAACGGCUUACCAAGGCAACGAUGCGUAGCCGACCUGAGAGGGUGAUCGGCCACACUGGAACUGAGACACGGUCCAGACUCCUACGGGAGGCAGCAGUAGGGAAUCUUCCGCAAUGGGCGAAAGCCUGACGGAGCAACGCCGCGUGAGUGAUGAAGGUCUUCGGAUCGUAAAACUCUGUUAUUAGGGAAGAACAAAUGUGUAAGUAACGAUGCACGUCUUGACGGUACCGAAUCAGAAAGCCACGGCUAACUACGU